AUGUGGUUUAUUCGAAGCAACGCGAAGAACCUUACCAGGUCUUGACAUCCUCUGACAACCCUAGAGAUAGGGCUUUCCCUUCGGGGACAGAGUGACAGGGGGUGCAUGGUUGUCGUCAGCUCGUGUCGUGAGAUGUUGGGUUAAGUCCCGCAACGAGCGCAACCCUUGAUCUUAGUUGCCAGCAUUUAGUUGGGCACUCUAAGGUGACUGCCGGUGACAAACCGGAGGAAGGGGGGGAUGACGUCAAAUCAUCAUGCCCCUUAUGACCUGGGCUACACACGUGCUACAAUGGACAGAACAAAGGGCUGCGAGACCGCAAGGUUUAGCCAAUCCCAUAAAUCUGUUCUCAGUUCGGAUCGCAGUCUGCAACUCGACUGCGUGAAGCUGGAAUCGCUAGUAAUCGCGGAUCAGCAUGCCGCGGUGAAUACGUUCCCGGGCCUUGUACACACCGCCCGUCACACCACGAGAGUUUGUAACACCCGAAGUCGGUGAGGUAACCUUUAUGGAGCCAGCCGCCGAAGGUGGGACAGAUGAUUGGGGUGAAGUCGUAACAAGGUAGCCGUAUCGGAAGGUGCGGCUGA
rnacentral:rRNA from 1 species